GUGUACAUGAUGCGAACCAACUAUGUAUCCUAUGCACAGUGAGGAUUAAACAAACGAGCUUUUUAAAUCUGAUGCAUC
rfam:Physcomitrella patens subsp. patens PHYPAscaffold_177 genomic scaffold, whole genome shotgun sequence.